rnacentral:rRNA from 1 species
GAUCAUGGCUCAGGAUGAACGCUAGCGACAGGCCUAACACAUGCAAGUCGAGGGGCAGCGGUAGAGGUAGCAAUACCUUUGCCGGUCGACCGGCGCACGGGUGAGUAACACGUAUGCAAUCCACCUGUAACAGGGGGAUAACCCGGGAGAAAAUCCGGACUAAAUACCCCCAUAAUAUGGGCUCUCCGCAUGGAGGGUCCAUUAAAGAGAGCAAUUUUAGGUUACAGACGAGCAUGCGCUCCAUUAG